rnacentral:rRNA from 1 species
GACGAACGCUGGCGGCGUGCCUAAUACAUGCAAGUAGAACGCACAGUUUAUACCGUAGCUUGCUACACCAUAGACUGUGAGUUGCGAACGGGUGAGUAACGCGUAGGUAACCUGCCUGGUAGCGGGGGAUAACUAUUGGAAACGAUAGCUAAUACCGCAUAAUAUUGAUUAUUGCAUGAUAAUUGAUUGAAAGAUGCUAUUGCAUCACUACCAGAUGGACCUGCGUUGUGUUAGCUAGUAGGUGAGGUAACGGCUCACCUAGGCGACGAUACAUAGCCGACCUGAGAGGGUGAUCGGCCACACUGGGACGGAGACACGGCCCAGACUCCUACGGGAGGCAGCAGUAGGGAAUCUUCGGCAAUGGACGAAAGUCUGACCGAGCAACGCCGCGCGAGUGAAGAAGGUUUUCGGAUCGUAAAGCUCUGUUGUAAGAGAAGAACGGGUGUGAGAGUGGAAAGUUCACACUGUGACGGUAUCUUACCAGAAAGGGACGGCUAACUACGUG